rnacentral:ncRNA from 1 species
GAAAUGUUUGAUUUCAGCUUAAUUUUUUACGUUAUUAUUAAAAUUGUAUGAAAGCUAAGGCGUGAUAUAAAUAAUUUAAUUAAAUAUUAAAUUAGUUAAAAAGUAAAGGUAAAUUAUGAAACUUUAUAGUCUCAGCAUAAAAUAUUAUAAGCAAUAUAUUAAAGUAUGAUAUAGUAGUAAUAAUCUAAGUCUGAUUAAUAUUUGUGCCAGCAUUCGCGGUUAUACUUUAAGAUUAAGUAAAAAUUCAAGGUUAUAGUUAAAUAGGUAAUUAAUAAAAUAUAUAAGUAAUAAAGGGUAAAAUCGGAAUAUUAUUUUGUAUAAAAAAAAAUUCUAAUUGAAGCUAAAAAAGUUUAGUAAUAAACUAGGAUUAGAUACCCUAUUAUUCUAAAAUAAAAUAAUCUAGACCAAAUUAGUAAGAGAUAAAUACUUAAAAUUUAAAAAAUUUGGCGGCAAUUUAAUCUUUUCAGAGGAACCUGUUUUGUAAUCGAUAAACCACGAAAAAUCUUACUUGUUCUUGUAAAUAAAACAGUUUGUAUACCAUCAUUAUCAGAUAAUUCUUAGAGGAGAAAUUAUUAAAUUUGGUUGUUUAGUUAAAUUAGAUCAUGGUGCAGUUUAUGGGCAAGGUAAAAUGGGUUACAAUAAAUUACUUUAUGGCGAAUUAAUAAAAUAAUUUUAUUAUGAAGAAGGAUUUGAUUGUAUUCUUAGUUUAAUAAGCUAACGAGAUAUAAGUUCUAAAUUGUGUACAUAUCGCCCGUCGCUUUCAUUUAUAAGUGAAAUAAGUCGUAACAUAGUAGAUGUACUGGAAAGUGUAUCUGGUUGUAG